rnacentral:rRNA from 1 species
AGAGUUUGAUCAUGGCUCAGGAUGAACGCUAGCGGCAGGCCUAACACAUGCAAGUCGAGGGGUAGAACACUUCGGUGUUUGAGACCGGCGCACGGGUGCGUAACGCGUAUGCAAUCUACCUUAUACAGGGGAAUAGCCCAGAGAAAUUUGGAUUAAUGCCCCAUAGUAUUAUGAAAUCGCAUGGUUUUAUAAUUAAAGUUCCAACGGUAUAAGAUGAGCAUGCGUCCCAUUAGUUAGUUGGUAAGGUAACGGCUUACCAAGACGAUGAUGGGUAGGGGUCCUGAGAGGGAGAUCCCCCACACUGGUACUGAGACACGGACCAGACUCCUACGGGAGGCAGCAGUGAGGAAUAUUGGUCAAUGGUCGCAAGACUGAACCAGCCAUGCCGCGUGCAGGAAGACGGUCCUAUGGAUUGUAAACUGCUUUUAUACAGGAAGAAACCCUCCCACGUGUGGGAGCUUGACGGUACUGUAGGAAUAAGGAUCGGCUAACUCCGUGCCAGCAGCCGCGGUAAUACGGAGGAUCCAAGCGUUAUCCGGAAUCACUGGGUUUAAAGGGUCCGUAGGCGGUCUUAUAAGUCAGUGGUGAAAGCCCAUCGCUCAACGAUGGAACUGCCAUUGAUACUGUAAGACUUGAAUGCUUAGGAAGUAACUAGAAUAUGUAGUGUAGCGGUGAAAUGCUUAGAUAUUACAUGGAAUACCAAUUGCGAAGGCAGGUUACUACUAAGUGAUUGACGCUGAUGGACGAAAGCGUGGGGAGCGAACAGGAUUAGAUACCCUGGUAGUCCACGCCGUAAACGAUGGAUACUAGCUGUUCGGAGCAAUCUGAGUGGCUAAGCGAAAGUGAUAAGUAUCCCACCUGGGGAGUACGCACGCAAGUGUGAAACUCAAAUGAAUUGACGG